rnacentral:tRNA from 1 species
ACUUUCAAAGGAUAAUAGUAAUCCAAUGGUCUUAGGAACCAGCUAUCUUGGUGCAAAUCCAGGUGAAAGUA